GAGAAUAUAGUUCAGUGGUAGAAUACAUGCUUAGCAUGCACGAGAUCCUGGAUUCAAUCCCCAGUACUGCCA
rnacentral:tRNA from 1 species